AUUGAACGCUGGCGGCAUGCCUUACACAUGCAAGUCGAACGGCAGCACGGGAGCAAUCCUGGUGGCGAGUGGCGAACGGGUGAGUAAUAUAUCGGAACGUGCCCAGUCGUGGGGAUAACGUAGCGAAAGCUACGCUAAUACCGCAUACGAUCUAUGGAUGAAAGCGGGGGAUCGCAAGACCUCGCGCGAUUGGAGCGGCCGAUAUCAGAUUAGCUAGUAGGUGAGGUAAUGGCUCACCUAGGCGACGAUCCGUAACUGGUCUGAGAGGAUGAUCAGUCACACUGGAACUGAGACACGGUCCCAGACUCCUACGGGAGGCAGCAGUGGGGAAUAUUGGACAAUAGGGCGAAGCUGAUCCAGCCAUGCCG
rnacentral:rRNA from 1 species